AGAGUUUGAUCCUGGCUCAGGACGAACGCUGGCGGUGUGCUUCACACAUGCAAGUCGAGCGAAUGAAGAAGGUAGCUUGCUACUUUUGGAUUUAGCGGCGGACGGGUGAGUAAUAUAUAGGAAUCUGCCCUAGAGCGGGGAACAACAGACCGAAAGGUUUGCUAAUGCCCCAUAGGUACGCAGUCUUCGGAUUGUUUAUUAAAGGAGUAAUCCACUCUAGGAUGAGCCUGUAUCCGAUUAGCUAGUUGGCGGGGUAAAGGCCCACCAAGGCUACGAUCGGUAGUUGGUCUGAGAGGAUGAUCAGCCACAAUGGGACUGAGACACGGCCCAUACUCCUACGGGAGGCAGCAGUGGGGAAUUUUACACAAUGGGGGAAACCCUGAUGUAGCGACACCGCGUGAACGAAGAAGCCUUUUGGGGUGUAAAGUUCUGUCGGCUGGAACGGAAAAAAUGACGGUACCAGCAAAGGAAGCAUCGGCUAACUACGUGCCAGCAGCCGCGGUAAGACGUAGGAUGCAAGCGUUGUCCGGAUUUAUUGGGCGUAAAGAGUUCGUAGGCGGUUAUUUAAGUCUGGUGUUAAAUACUGUGGCCCAACCACAGAACUGCAUUGGAUACUGGAUGACUUGAGUGCGGUAGAGGCGAGUGGAAUUCCCAGUGUAGCGGUGAAAUGCGUAGA
rnacentral:rRNA from 1 species